GGCUCCGCACUGAACAUCACUGGCAAGAACCUUCCUUUAAUCUACAUUUAUGAGAGGUAGUACUCGGAGAAGUAACCUUCGUGAACAUCACUGGCAAGUAUAAUGUGACGCGCGCCUUGCCGCACCGUUUUUCAGUUGUGGGUUAAUGUUGCUCUUUAAUUAUGACUGUCAUGUUGUGCCUUUCACCUGGCCGAGCUGGUAUUUAAUUAUGGAUGGGUCCCUG
rnacentral:lncRNA from 1 species